rnacentral:snRNA from 1 species
AACUAAUAAAGUUAAAAAA